rnacentral:rRNA from 1 species
UACGUAGGGUCCAAGCGUUAAUCGGAAUUACUGGGCGUAAAGCGUGCGCAGGCGGUUUUGUAAGCCAGAUGUGAAAUCCCCGGGCUUAACCUGGGAAUGGCAUUUGGGACUGCAAGGCUCGAGUGCGGCAGAGGAGACUGGAAUUCCUGGUGUAGCAGUGAAAUGCGUAGAUAUCAGGAGGAACACCGAUGGCGAAGGCAGGUCUCUGGGCUGAAACUGACGCUCAUGCACGAAAGCGUGGGGAGCAAACAGG